GACGAACGCUGGCGGCGUGCUUAACACAUGCAAGUCGAGCGGUAAGGCCCUUUCGGGGGUACACGAGCGGCGAACGGGUGAGUAACACGUGGGUGACCUGCCCUCAGCUCUGGGAUAAGCCUGGGAAACCGGGUCUAAUACUGGAUAUGACUCCAUGACGCAUGUUGUGGGGUGGAAAGCCUUGUGCGGCUGAGGAUGGGCCCGCGGCCUAUCAGCUUGUUGGUGGGGUGAGGCCUACCAAGGCGACGACGGGUAGCCGGCCUGAGAGGGCGACCGGCCACACUGGGACUGAGACACGG
rnacentral:rRNA from 1 species